AAUAAAAUUUUCAUUGGGAGUUUGCUCACCUUUUUACUUGGUGCAGCACUUGCUGGAGUGGGCAUAACAAGGUUAUUGAGACUUCCACCAUUUGAUAAGAGUAAGUGGAAACAUCAGUCAUAACUAAGAUGAAUUGGAAAGAGCAAGUGAACAGCUUAUUGUAUACAAGUGUUGAAAAUAUGUAUAAAUAAAUGAAACAAUAUUG